rnacentral:rRNA from 1 species
GUUAAAAAAGCUCGUAGUUGGAUCUCGGUUCGUGGCGAUCGGACCGUCUUCGCGACGGAUUCCAGAUCGAUCCGAACAGAAAUAGCCGGUUAGCCUGGCGAUGCUCUUCAUCGAGUGUGUGUCGGGCGGCUGGUACGUUUACUUUGAAAAAAUUAGAGUGCUCAAAGCAGGCCUUAGCGCCAGAAUAAUAGUGCAUGGAAUAAUGGAAUAGGAUCUCGGUUCUAUUUUGUUGGUUCUCGGAACACGAGAUAAUGAUUAAUAGGAACAGACGGGGGCAUUCGUAUUGCGACGUUAGAGGUGAAAUUCUUGGAUCGUCGCAAGACGGACUACUGCGAAAGCAUUUGCCAAGCAUGUUUUCAUUAAUCAAGAACGAAAGU